CACGGUAACGGCAAUGGAUUCUGCCGGGCACGACGCCGAACCGCUUCCUUGAUGAAGCCGAUGACUCCUACUCAACA
rnacentral:ncRNA from 2 species